GUAUUUGAAGUAAGACCUGCUCACUGUUAUUUUUUUUUUAAAGAGCCGCUUAUUGUGCUAAGGUAGCAAAAUAGUUUGUCUUUUAAUUUAAGUCUAGAAUGAAUGGUUUUACGUAAAAAUUACUUUUUUUUUUUAUUUUUAAAAUUUUAUGUUUAAGUGAAAAAUCUUAAAUUUUAUUAAAAGACGAUAAGACCCUAAGAGCUUGUUUUAUAGUAAUUAUUUAAUAUAAAUAAAUUAUAUUUAUUUUAAUAAUCUUAAAUUUGAUUGGGGAGAUUGCUAAAUAAAUUUUUAAAUAACUUUAGUUUUAUUUAUUCUUAUAUAAGUUUUUUAGAUCUAUUUAUAAGUGAUUGGAUGUUGAAAGUUACCUUAGGGAUAACAGGGUAAUCUAAUUUUAAAGUUCUUAUUAAAAGUUGGGUUUGCUACCUCGAUGUUGAAUUAAGAUAAAAUGAAAAGGAAGGUUUUUUUGUUUUAGGGUCUGUUCGACCUGUAAUAUCUUACGUGAUCUGAGU
rnacentral:rRNA from 1 species